UCAUCUUCGGGGGUAGAGCACUGUUUCGGCUAGGGGGUCAUCCCGACUUACCAACCCGAUGCAAACUACGAAUACCGAAGAAUGUUAUCACGGGAGACACACGGCGGGUGCUAACGUCCGUCGUGAAGAGGGAAACAACCCAGACCGCCAGCUAAGGUCCCAAAGUCAUGGUUAAGUGGGAAACGAUGUGGGAAGGCACAGACAGCCAGGAUGUUGGCUUAGAAGCAGCCAUCAUUUAAAGAAAGCGUAAUAGCUCACUGGUCGAGUCGGCCUGCGCGGAAGAUGUAACGGGGCUAAACCAUGCACCGAAGCUGCGGCAGCGACACUAUGUGUUGUUGGGUAGGGGAGCGUUCUGUAAGCCUGCGAAGGUGUGCUGUGAGGCAUGCUGGAGGUAUCAGAAGUGCGAAUGCUGACAUAAGUAACGAUAAAGCGGGUGAAAAGCCCGCUCGCCGGAAGACCAAGGGUUCCUGUCCAACGUUAAUCGGGGCAGGGUGAGUCGACCCCUAAGGCGAGGCCGAAAGGCGUAGUCGAUGGGAAACAGGUUAAUAUUCCUGUACUUGGUGUUACUGCGAAGGGGGGACGGAGAAGGCUAUGUUAGCCGGGCGACGGUUGUCCCGGUUUAAGCAUGUAGGCUGGUUGUCCAGGCAAAUCCGGAUAAUCAAGGCUGAGGUGUGAUGACGAGGCACUACGGUGCUGAAGUAACAAAUGCCCUGCUUCCAGGAAAAGCCUCUAAGCAUCAGGUAACAUCAAAUCGUACCCCAAACCGACACAGGUGGUCAGGUAGAGAAUACCAAGGCGCUUGAGAGAACUCGGGUGAAGGAACUAGGCAAAAUGGUGCCGUAACUUCGGGAGAAGGCACGCUGGUGUGUAGGUGAAGUCCCUGCGGAUGGAGCUGAGACCAGUCGAAGAUACCAGCUGGCUGCAACUGUUUAUUAAAAACACAGCACUGUGCAAACACGAAAGUGGACGUAUACGGUGUGACGCCUGCCCGGUGCCGGAAGGUUAAUUGAUGGGGUUAUCCGUAAGGAGAAGCUCUUGAUCGAAGCCCCGGUAAACGGCGGCCGUAACUAUAACGGUCCUAAGGUAGCGAAAUUCCUUGUCGGGUAAGUUCCGACCUGCACGAAUGGCGUAAUGAUGGCCAGGCUGUCUCCACCCGAGACUCAGUGAAAUUGAACUCGCUGUGAAGAUGCAGUGUACCCGCGGCAAGACGGAAAGACCCCGUGAACCUUUACUAUAGCUUGACACUGAACAUUGAGCCUUGAUGUGUAGGAUAGGUGGGAGGCUUUGAAGCGUGGACGCCAGUCUGCGUGGAGCCAACCUUGAAAUACCACCCUUUAAUGUUUGAUGUUCUAACGUUGGCCCCUGACCGGGGUUGCGGACAGUGUCUGGUGGGUAGUUUGACUGGGGCGGUCUCCUCCCAAAGCGUAACGGAGGAGCACGAAGGUUAGCUAAUCCUGGUCGGACAUCAGGAGGUUAGUGCAAUGGCAUAAGCUAGCUUGACUGCGAGCGUGACGGCGCGAGCAGGUGCGAAAGCAGGUCAUAGUGAUCCGGUGGUUCUGAAUGGAAGGGCCAUCGCUCAACGGAUAAAAGGUACUCCGGGGAUAACAGGCUGAUACCGCCCAAGAGUUCAUAUCGACGGCGGUGUUUGGCACCUCGAUGUCGGCUCAUCACAUCCUGGGGCUGAAGUAGGUCCCAAGGGUAUGGCUGUUCGCCAUUUAAAGUGGUACGCGAGCUGGGUUUAGAACGUCGUGAGACAGUUCGGUCCCUAUCUGCCGUGGGCGCUGGAGAAUUGAGGGGGGCUGCUCCUAGUACGAGAGGACCGGAGUGGACGCAUCACUGGUGUUCGGGUUGUCAUGCCAAUGGCACUGCCCGGUAGCUAAAUGCGGAAGAGAUAAGUGCUGAAAGCAUCUAAGCACGAAACUUGCCCCGAGAUGAGUUCUCCCUGAGACUUUAAGUCUCCUGAAGGAACGUUAAAGACGAUGACGUUGAUAGGCCGGGUGUGUAAGCGCAGCGAUGCGUUGAGCUAACCGGUACUAAUGAACCGUGAGGCUUAACCUU
rnacentral:rRNA from 1 species